GACUGAUGUCCAGUGAGAAGGUGAAAGUGACCUAUACCCCCCUCAACUGCAAGAAAGGAACCACAGGACAGGUGACUGAUGUCCGGUGAGAAGGUGAAAGUGACCUAUACCCCCGUCAACUGCAAGAAAGGAACCACAGGACAGGUAAUUAAUAUUUAUAUUAAUUACUGAUAACAAUCAGGCUAGAUGUAAUAUCUAGACCUGCAGAGAUGUCAUAGUCUCCACCUUAUACAUGAACAUAUAUGUGUUGUUAAUAAGCAUAUCGUCUAUGGACAGCUUCUUAUAUAACACAACCAUGUCUCAGGUACAGAGAAUAGGAACAUUUAUGAUCCUUAAUAUCUGUUUUUUAUUUGUAGGAAUUCCUUUUUCAAUAUUUAAUAGAAUAGACCCAACUUACCCCAAGGUUUACAAGUUUCCUUUAGACAAACUGACUGCAGAUUUAGAACAUAACUGUAAUGUAAAGGAAAAUCAAUAAUUUGUUUUUGCUACAAAUAUAUAAUUAUAAAAAUAAUGAGAAUUAAAAAACUAUAUAUUAAAAGACUAUAGCCAUAAUAAUACAUAGCCUGUUGAAAUAAUCAUGAAGCGCAUAAUACACUGCACUUUAAUACUAGUGCAGUGUAUUAUAUGAGCGAUCUUAAGAUCGCUGUUAAAAGUCCCCUUUGUAAAAAAAAACGUAAAGGCUAGCUAGGAAUUUUCAUCCGGAAUAACUAUUGCCGGAGGUUCCAAGCGUACAUUACCGUCAUCAUAGAUGGCAAUGUAUUGUGCCCGGAUCCUAUGUAAAUGAAGUUAAAAAUAAACAAUUUAUAAAAUAAUUCACCCCACCCCAACCCCUACAAAAAAAUAAAUGUUUAUAUAAAAAAGAAUAAAAAAAAAAUAACCCAUUUCUCCCCUCACAUAAGCUAUAAUUAAAAAUCGGCUGUCAACAUAAUGCUGACAGCGAUAAUACACUGCACUAUAACACUAUUGCAAUGUAUUAUAUGGGUGAUCACAAGAUCACUGGGGAAAGGCCUCUCAUCGAA